CGCUUUUUUGCUAUCUGCGAUAUCAAAAUUCGAACCUGCCGCAGGUUCGGGCCGAGCGCAGCGAGACAACGGAGCCGCUUGCGGCGACGGCCCGAAGGGCGAAGCCAAGUCAUCCUGCACAACCCACCA
rfam:Klebsiella sp. RIT-PI-d NODE_1_length_2264346_cov_38.3847_ID_1, whole genome shotgun sequence.